rnacentral:rRNA from 1 species
GUCCACGCUGUAAACGUUGCGAACUAGGUGUCGGGGGUAUUCACCCCUCCGGUGCCGAAGCUAACGUCUUAAGUUCGCCGCCUGGGAAGUACGGCCGCAGGGCUAAAACUCAAAGGAAUUGACGGGGGCCCGCACAAGCGGUGGAGCAUGUGGUUCAAUUCGAUGCAACGCGAAGAACCUUACCUGGGCUUGACAUCCCGAGAAUCUCUCAGAAAUGAGGGAGUGCCCGUAAGGGAACUCGGAGACAGGUGCUGCAUGGCUGUCGU